rnacentral:lncRNA from 1 species
UCAGUAAGGGUUUUGAUACUGUAUCGAGUAGCUGACUACGAUUAGAGGUAAACAAAAAGUCGUGUUUCAAUUAAAAAGAGUCAUUGUGAAAAUAAUUAUUCGAUUAGAAAUUAGGGAAAGAUAAAGCGGCACGGUGAAUUUUGAAAAAGAAAAAACCAUUAUUAUACUAACGUUUCUAAAUAGUGAGAAAUAAAUUUUAAAAAAUCAUUUAUUUUUUAAUUUAAUGUAGCAUUUAUUAAAUUAAUUAUUAAUUUGUAAUCAUAGCUAUUUACUCCACAGGCAUCUAUGGCAAUUGGCAACCUCUCUUUCUAUACAAAUAAUAAUAAUAAUGCAGCAUUUGGCACUAUUCGUCUGCUGUUCUGCAUAGAGGCGUCUGCUACUGUCUUUCCAAAUUCUCCGCUUGGAUCAGUAGAAAUUACUGAUGCAAGCUGAGAAUCUCAGCUACUUGAUACGACCCGUGUGUCGUGAAAAGGAGUGUCUUGUUCUUAUUGAGUAAUAUUUUAGUUAUAUUUUUUUUAAUUUAUUUAGAUGGAAGGGAGUCUGUUUGGGCAAAGGGUGGCAAUGGAAAAGGGGAAGCAUGCAUCGAAACUAUAAAAUCAAGCUACCAUAGAUCCUGUUCUGAAUGCACUCAGUGCAGUUGACAGAUUUAAGGAUUUAAAAAAUAAUAAUUUAUCAACCCGACUGAUAAAAGCCAACUGCCGAUACCACAAUCUAGCUCAGCUGAUUCCAAAUGUCCGGAAUCACAGCUGGAGUUUGAAUUUUUAAUCAUAAUCAAUAAAAUUACUUCAAUUCUAGUAACACUAACUAUUUUUAUUUUAUCUGUUUCAGAGUAAACAACUGAUUUUGAAUAGACAGUCAAACUCACAAUGAAGACCAGGUGCAGCAGAAGUGGUCAGAAAAACUGAAAUUUCAUCAAGUAUUGGUGUAAAGUUUAUGUGGAAUAUAUGUUUCAGAGCCAGCCUAAGUGCUGGAUGUGUGCUUGCACAAAUCCGGUGAAUUUCACAAAAAAAUAUUGAACAAAAAAAUACCAAUAAUACACAUAUUAUUUUUGCAUUUA